rnacentral:rRNA from 1 species
AUUGAACGCUGGCGGCAGGCCUAACACAUGCAAGUCGAACGAGUGGCGGACGGGUGAGUAAUGUCUGGGGAACUGCCCGAUAGAGGGGGAUAACUACUGGAAACGGUAGCUAAUACCGCAUACCAUCAGAUGUACCCAGAUGGGAUUAGCUAGUAGGUGGGGUAACGGCUCACCUAGGCGACGAUCCCUAGCUGGUCUGAGAGGAUGACCAGCCACACUGGAACUGAGACACGGCCCAGACUCCUACGGGAGGCAGCAGUGGGGAAUAUUGCACAAUGGGCGCAAGCCGGAUGCAGCCAUGCCGCGUGUAUGAAGAAGGCCUUCGGGUUGUAAAGUACUUUCAGCGGGGAGGCGUUACCCGCAGAAGAAGCACCGGCUAACUCCGUGCCAGCAGCCGCGGUAAUUC